AACGUAGGGGACAAGCGUUAUCCGGAUUUACUGGGCGUAAAGCGCAUGUAGGUGGCUUGACAAGUUGGAUGUGAAAGCUCCUGGCUUAACUGGGAGAGGUCAUUCAAAACUGGCAAGCUAGAGGAUGGAAGAGGAGAGCGGAAUUCCCGGUGUAGUGGUGGAAUGCGUAGAUAUCGGGAGGAACACCAGUGGCGAAAGCGGCUCUCUGGUUCGUGCCUGACACUGAGAUGCGAAAGCGUGGGGAGCGAACGGGAUUAGAAACCCUGUAGUCC
rnacentral:rRNA from 1 species